GCGGUGUAGGUGGAAGCAGUGGUGGGGGAGGAGGAUGAGGUAGCCAACACUGUUUUUUUAUUUAUAUAUAUUUUUUAAUUGGGGUAGCCCCCAAAAUAUUGGGACAUAUAAAAAAAGACAACUCUGUUCCGCAGAGUAGCUGUUGACAUUAUAGUUGCGCGGGCACUUUGCUGACUCUAUAGAACCUCGGGCUAAUCGCACAUCCCCGUGACGGUGACUUUUCAUUCGGAUGUCAUCCAUAUCAACUUUCUAUGCCAGUUUCUGUGCCUACCAUGGUGACCACGGGUAACAUGGAAUCAGGGUUCGAUUCUGUACAGGGACCCUGAGAAACGGCUACCACAUGCAAGGAAGGCAGCAGGCG